rnacentral:misc_RNA from 1 species
GAAACGCGAUAAGUAAUGUGAAUUGCAGAAUUCCGUGAAUCAUCGAAUCUUUGAACGCACAUUGCGCCCGCCAGUACUCUGGCGGGCAUGCCUGUUCGAGCGUCAUUUCGACCAUCGAGCCCCCCGGGCUCGCGUUGGGGAUCUGCGGCCGCGCGCAGUCCCCGAAAACCAGUGGCGGGCUCGCCGUCACCCCGAGCGUAGUAGCAUCCGUUUUUCUCGCUCCGGGGCGUGGCGCGGGACCCGGCCGUUAAAGGGCGGUUCACGCACCCCCAACAUACCCAGGUUGACCUCGGAUCAGGUAGGAAUACCCGCUGAACUUAA